UAUGAACCGUUAUAACCGGCGAUUUCCGAAUGGGGAAACCCAGUGUGACUCGUCACACUAUCAUUAACUGAAUCCAUAGGUUAAUGAGGCGAACCGGGGGAACUGAAACAUCUAAGUACCCCGAGGAAAAGAAAUCAACCGAGAUUCCCCCAGUAGCGGCGAGCGAACGGGGAGGAGCCCAGAGCCUGAAUCAGCAUGUGUGUUAGUGGAAGCGUCUGGAAAGGCGCGCGAUACAGGGUGACAGCCCCGUACACAAAAGCGCAUGUGCUGUGAGCUCGAUGAGUAGGGCGGGACACGUGGUAUCCUGUCUGAAUAUGGGGGGACCAUCCUCCAAGGCUAAAUACUCCUGACUGACCGAUAGUGAACCAGUACCGUGAGGGAAAGGCGAAAAGAACCCCGGCGAGGGGAGUGAAAAAGAACCUGAAACCGUGUACGUACAAGCAGUGGGAGCACAGGUUUACCUGUGUG
rnacentral:rRNA from 1 species